rnacentral:rRNA from 1 species
UGUGCCUGAACUUAAGCAAGGCUACCCGCUGGWCUUAAGCAUMUCAUUAACCGGAGGWAAASAAACUAACCAGGAUUGCCCCAGUAACGGCGAGUGAAGCGGCAACAGCCCACACUGGAAAUCGCUUCGGCGAGUUGUACAGKGAAAACGUAGCUCUAGCGSAAGGCGGCCUCUGUAACUUCCUUGGMMCAGGAGACCAGAGAGAGUGAUAGUCCCAGUSCAGAGGCUAGCUGAUCGAUAGAGCGCGUUCUAAGAGUCRRGUAGUUUGGGAUUGCUGCCCUAAGCGGGAGGUAGACUCCUCCUAAGGCUAAAUAUUAACGAGAGACCGAUAGUGGACAAGUACUGUGAAGGAAAGA